UACGUAGGUGGCAAGCGUUUGUCCGGAUUUACUGGGCGUAAAGGAUGCGUAGUGGAUAUUUUAAGUGGGAUGUGAAAUACCCGGGCUCAACUUUGGGUGCUGCAUUCCAAAACUGGAUAUCUAGAGUGCAGGAGAGGAAAGUGGAAUUCCUAGUGUAGCAGUGAAAUGCGUAGAUAUUAGGAGAACACAGUGGCGAAGGCGACUUUCUGGACUGU
rnacentral:rRNA from 1 species